AUGGAUGCCCCUGGAGUCCAUGUAGCUCUGCUGCCGUGCUACCCUUAUCGGCCUCAGCUAUGUCGAAGGAGCUCCCUUCAAUUCAGUGGAUUCAACAAAAAAAGUCCAUGCUGCCACUGCAUGCUGAGUUCAAGGGAUUCCUUAGGGGCCUUCUACACCAUCUUGCUAAUGAUGCCAUCGCUCGAUGCCACAGCCUUGCUCGUCGUUCUUGUACUGCCAUUCACAUACCGCUCCUAUUUUACUCCAUUGAGAUCCAUAGAAAUAAGUUAUAUUCAGUUCACCACUUUUACAAUUGAUGGUCCUAUGUUGACCGAAACAAUAGUUCAAGCUCCUAAAAAAGCAAUUAUGUGUAUGCUACAUCACUUUGAGGAACUACAACAAACAAAAUAA
rnacentral:rRNA from 1 species